CGGCUUGGGGCUUGGUUCUAUGUCCCUGCGGGUCGGUGCAAGGGCGAAGAGGAACCCGUGGGCCUCAGGGGAUCCCGGGGGGCCGGACCAGUGUUCCCUAGUUGUGGGAGCAGACGCGUGGGCACAUUGCGGGCGGGCAGGGCCUGAAGUGCAGGUGCGGGCAGUGGACCCUGGCGGGGGCUGGGAGGACAGGCGUGGGGUCCCGGCAGUGAAACGGGUUCUAGAGGCGCAGGAGCAGGUAGGAGAGGCCGGUGGCCCUGGGCCCGGAGUCUGCAGGCCGCGCUCCUGUCCUGCCGCUGAGGGACCCGGUUACCAACCUGCAUGACGCUCAGUUUGCCCAUCUGUCCCAGUGGUAACACACAGUUCUCGGGAGACGUUCCCCAUUCCCAGAGGAGUAGUGUGAAACGCGUGCGCCUCUAGUCUUAAACUUGGCGUUUGUAUUAGUUGGGUUUCCUGGUGUCUCUUUAGCAAGUGAAGUUUCUGGUUCCCUCCUUCACUGUGUGACCUGCCUAGUCCUCCUGGGUCGCAUUUACAGAAGUUUAUACGAGACCUAGUUUCCAGGGAAGAACUCACUGAUUCCGCGAGGGAGAUGGCUUAAUGGAUGAUGGUCGUCAGCCUUAAGGAUACUUCAGUCUUAACUGUGUGUUACAAAGUUUGAAAGGGAGGGUUCCCUAUGAAUAAGAAGCACACUUGAAAGAACAGCCAUCUGGUCUAACCUCUCACUGGUGCUUCAGAGGAGGAAAAAAGGUCACAGCUAUGUUUCCAGUGUCCUCUGGGUGUUUCCAAGAGCAACAAGAAAUGAAUAAAUCUCUGCCACCCUCCAGGGUGCCCCGACUCACUUUCCCUGCAGAUGGAGGCAAGGAGGCUCCACAGACAACCCCCCUGCCUGAGGUCACAUAGUGGCCAGCAGGCCAGGGCCCUUCCCACAGAGCCCCGAUCUAAAGACAGAACACAGAGGCUACAGGAAGACUAAUCCAGAACCUCUGAGACAGCCAGGGACCACAUGAGGACUCUCCCCAGACAGCCAGAAGGCCCUUUGCUAGUUUCUUGGUACUUCAGUGGAUGUGGCAGUGGUUCUUCUGUUGGGGACCAGUGAGUACACACUGGGGAGGGCUCACCUGUGCUUCCUCAGUGGCUCCACCUCUGCUUCUAAAAAAAAUGACUCAUUCCAGAGCUGGCGCAGAGAAAAUACAAGCUGAGCUUAGAACAUCUUCUGCCAGAAAGUAAAAAAGUGCCGACAGAGUAAUGGAGACAAAUCAAAGAGACAUAAAGUCAGCUUGGAAUGUCUACUACUGGCCUAAUCUUGGGGAAUUGGAGCAUCAGAAUCAUGAGCUUUCCUUCUCCCUUAUUUAUUGGUUUUAUUUCUCCAUGUAGAACAAAGAAGAGAAUAAGAAAAUAAUCAUCUGGUAACCAUCAUAGUAAUAAUUGUUCAAACACAAGUCAUCCAUGAAAUGCUAAAUCUAGUGGGUUCUGAGGAGUAACCAGAUAUUUACAGAGCCUCAAAGUAUCUCCAUACAAAAUACGGUUGAACUACAAAAAGAAAAUUGUAACAUUAGCAUGGACAAACCUGGCAGGUACUCCUUAACUCUCCUAAGUAAUAAAAACUGUAAAAU
ensembl:lncRNA novel transcript